rnacentral:misc_RNA from 1 species
GUCAAGAUCAUGCUUGAUUGGGACCCUAAGGGUAAGCAAGGUCCACCGACGCCUCUCCCUGAUUUGGUUACCAUCCAUACUCCCAAGGAGGAAGAGGAUUUCGUUAGGCCCGUGGCUGUGAUUCCGACAACUGAAAUUGAAGUUGGAGCAGCUUAAGAGAAGAGGAAGAGCAGGCAUGAGGGAGGAGGAAGUAGUGUAGUGUUGCUAUUAUAAUGUCAUUUAUUUCAGAAUGUGGAAUUCUAAGUUUUGAUGUCGUUUUCUUUUGUUUUGAGUUCUGAUUUUGCUAUGAUUUUGUUACAAAUAUUCACACAAACUUUGUUACGUUACUUUAUGUUAGAGCCCCUAGUGUUUUAAUGGU